GCCUCGGUGGAUCAUGGUGGAUCGUCCCUGUUAAGUUACUUAAAAUAAUAGCACCUUUACAGCGGGAAGAUGGGGGUUCGAAUCCCUCUCGAGGCA